UACAGAGGUCUCAAGCGUUGUCCGGAUUCACUGGGUGUAAAGGGUCCGCAGGCGGGUUGGUUAGUCGUUGGUGAAAUUCCAGAGCUUAACUCUGGAACUGCCGACGAUACCGCCGAUCUUGAGUACGGAAGAGGAAGAUGGAAUUCCUGGUGUAGCGGUGAAAUGCGUAGAUAUCAGGAAGAACACCGGUGGCGAAGGCGGUCUUCUGGUCCGUUACUGACGCUCAGGGACGAAAGCGUGGGGAGCAAACAGG
rnacentral:rRNA from 1 species